AGCGUACACGGUGGAUGCCCUGGCAGUCAGAGGCGAUGAAGGACGUGCUAAUCUGCGAUAAGCGUCGGUAAGGUGAUAUGAACCGUUAUAACCGGCGAUUUCCGAAUGGGGAAACCCAGUGUGUUUCGACACACUAUCAUUAACUGAAUCCAUAGGUUAAUGAGGCGAACCGGGGGAACUGAAACAUCUAAGUACCCCGAGGAAAAGAAAUCAACCGAGAUUCCCCCAGUAGCGGCGAGCGAACGGGGAGCAGCCCAGAGCCUGAAUCAGUGUGUGUGUUAGUGGAAGCGUCUGGAAAGGCGCGCGAUACAGGGUGACAGCCCCGUACACAAAAAUGCACAUGCUGUGAGCUCGAUGAGUAGGGCGGGACACGUGGUAUCCUGUCUGAAUAUGGGGGGACCAUCCUCCAAGGCUAAAUACUCCUGACUGACCGAUAGUGAACCAGUACCGUGAGGGAAAGGCGAAAAGAACCCCGGCGAGGGGAGUGAAAAAGAACCUGAAACCGUGUACGUACAAGCAGUGGGAGCACGCUUAGGCGUGUGACUGCGUACCUUUUGUAUAAUGGGUCAGCGACUUAUAUUCUGUAGCAAGGUUAACCGAAUAGGGGAGCCGAAGGGAAACCGAGUCUUAACUGGGCGUUAAGUUGCAGGGUAUAGACCCGAAACCCGGUGAUCUAGCCAUGGGCAGGUUGAAGGUUGGGUAACACUAACUGGAGGACCGAACCGACUAAUGUUGAAAAAUUAGCGGAUGACUUGUGGCUGGGGGUGAAAGGCCAAUCAAACCGGGAGAUAGCUGGUUCUCCCCGAAAGCUAUUUAGGUAGCGCCUCGUGAAUUCAUCUCCGGGGGUAGAGCACUGUUUCGGCAAGGGGGUCAUCCCGACUUACCAACCCGAUGCAAACUGCGAAUACCGGAGAAUGUUAUCACGGGAGACACACGGCGGGUGCUAACGUCCGUCGUGAAGAGGGAAACAACCCAGACCGCCAGCUAAGGUCCCAAAGUCAUGGUUAAGUGGGAAACGAUGUGGGAAGGCCCAGACAGCCAGGAUGUUGGCUUAGAAGCAGCCAUCAUUUAAAGAAAGCGUAAUAGCUCACUGGUCGAGUCGGCCUGCGCGGAAGAUGUAACGGGGCUAAACCAUGCACCGAAGCUGCGGCAGCGACGCUUAUGCGUUGUUGGGUAGGGGAGCGUUCUGUAAGCCUGCGAAGGUGUACUGUGAGGUAUGCUGGAGGUAUCAGAAGUGCGAAUGCUGACAUAAGUAACGAUAAAGCGGGUGAAAAGCCCGCUCGCCGGAAGACCAAGGGUUCCUGUCCAACGUUAAUCGGGGCAGGGUGAGUCGACCCCUAAGGCGAGGCCGAAAGGCGUAGUCGAUGGGAAACAGGUUAAUAUUCCUGUACUUGGUGUUACUGCGAAGGGGGGACGGAGAAGGCUAUGUUGGCCGGGCGACGGUUGUCCCGGUUUAAGCGUGUAGGCUGGUUUUCCAGGCAAAUCCGGAAAAUCAAGGCUGAGGCGUGAUGACGAGGCACUACGGUGCUGAAGCAACAAAUGCCCUGCUUCCAGGAAAAGCCUCUAAGCAUCAGGUAACAUCAAAUCGUACCCCAAACCGACACAGGUGGUCAGGUAGAGAAUACCAAGGCGCUUGAGAGAACUCGGGUGAAGGAACUAGGCAAAAUGGUGCCGUAACUUCGGGAGAAGGCACGCUGAUAUGUAGGUGAAGUCCCUCGCGGAUGGAGCUGAAAUCAGUCGAAGAUACCAGCUGGCUGCAACUGUUUAUUAAAAACACAGCACUGUGCAAACACGAAAGUGGACGUAUACGGUGUGACGCCUGCCCGGUGCCGGAAGGUUAAUUGAUGGGGUCAGCGCAAGGCGAAGCUCUUGAUCGAAGCCCCGGUAAACGGCGGCCGUAACUAUAACGGUCCUAAGGUAGCGAAAUUCCUUGUCGGGUAAGUUCCGACCUGCACGAAUGGCGUAAUGAUGGCCAGGCUGUCUCCACCCGAGACUCAGUGAAAUUGAACUCGCUGUGAAGAUGCAGUGUACCCGCGGCAAGACGGAAAGACCCCGUGAACCUUUACUAUAGCUUGACACUGAACAUUGAGCCUUGAUGUGUAGGAUAGGUGGGAGGCUUUGAAGUGUGGACGCCAGUCUGCAUGGAGCCGACCUUGAAAUACCACCCUUUAAUGUUUGAUGUUCUAACGUUGACCCGUAAUCCGGGUUGCGGACAGUGUCUGGUGGGUAGUUUGACUGGGGCGGUCUCCUCCUAAAGAGUAACGGAGGAGCACGAAGGUUGGCUAAUCCUGGUCGGACAUCAGGAGGUUAGUGCAAUGGCAUAAGCCAGCUUGACUGCGAGCGUGACGGCGCGAGCAGGUGCGAAAGCAGGUCAUAGUGAUCCGGUGGUUCUGAAUGGAAGGGCCAUCGCUCAACGGAUAAAAGGUACUCCGGGGAUAACAGGCUGAUACCGCCCAAGAGUUCAUAUCGACGGCGGUGUUUGGCACCUCGAUGUCGGCUCAUCACAUCCUGGGGCUGAAGUAGGUCCCAAGGGUAUGGCUGUUCGCCAUUUAAAGUGGUACGCGAGCUGGGUUUAGAACGUCGUGAGACAGUUCGGUCCCUAUCUGCCGUGGGCGCUGGAGAACUGAGGGGGGCUGCUCCUAGUACGAGAGGACCGGAGUGGACGCAUCACUGGUGUUCGGGUUGUCAUGCCAAUGGCACUGCCCGGUAGCUAAAUGCGGAAGAGAUAAGUGCUGAAAGCAUCUAAGCACGAAACUUGCCCCGAGAUGAGUUCUCCCUGACUCCUUGA
rnacentral:rRNA from 1 species